GAUAAUCAUCAAAGAGGAUUCAGGGACACCUAUAGAGAAAUAGUUCCACCAGGUUAAGAGGUAGACGGUUACAACAUGUGUGAAAUAGUAGGGGGUAAAGGUGUUGUAAAAUGCUGUGAGUGACAGUUGGAUAUGCAGAUGAUAUGAAUAUGGCCAAUGACU